UUAUAGAUUGUCCAGAGCACGACGCUGUUCUGAAAAUGCUUUUGGAAUAUUAGGUGCAAGAUUCCAAAUCUUUAGAUCAGCAAUGCGAUAUGAUCCUGAUGAUGCGUCAAAUAUAAUAUUAGCUUGUUGUUGUAUACAUAAUAUGUUAAGAACUGAAGUAGUGGGAAGACAUAUGUAUACUCCUCCUAAAUAUCUUGAUAAGGAAGACGAACUCAUGUAUAGAUUUCAUCCGGGAGAGUGGCGACAAGAACCUACUUUUGGAAUGAUCAAUUUGGGCAAUCAAGGAGUUCUUACGACUUAUAGGACUUAUUUCUCGUAAUCUUGCUGUCACGAAAUUUCCAAAGUGCUCUACUGAAUCAUUGUCAGAAAUAGGUAAUGGUUGAUUUGUCAAUGUUUUAAUGGCAUCCAUUGCCUCCUCUAUUACUGACACCCGCCUUUUUUUUGCUGCUCCUCUUUUCACAUACAUGUCUUGUCUGUUAUAUGGUUUCAAGGCAGAAGGAUGAGUAAGUUCUGGUAACGCUGUUGAUGAAUCAGAUGGACUGUUUGGAUUAGAUUUAUAACAAAGCGAUGACGAACUUGCUGGACUAUUUGUACUUGUGAAAGAUGGGCUGUUGUCAGUUUCAUUUUCUUGAUUAUCAAUAGGCAUGGCUUGCCAUUGCUGAAAUCAAAUAUUUAAUAAAAUAAAUUAGAUA